UACAGAGGGGGCAAGCGUUAUUCGGAAUUAUUGGGCGUAAAGGGCGCGUAGGCGGCCUGGCAAGUGGAUGGUGAAAUCCCUCGGCUUAACCGAGGAACUGCCAUCCAGACUGCUUGGCUUGAGACCGGGAGAGGUGAGUGGAAUUCCCAGUGUAGCGGUGAAAUGCGUAGAUAUUGGGAGGAACACCAGUGGCGAAGGCGACUUACUGGACUGUAACUGACGCUGAGGCAUGAAAGCGUGGAGAGCAAACAGG
rnacentral:rRNA from 1 species